rnacentral:rRNA from 1 species
UCAUACCUAUNNGAAGGGAUAGGGUCGGUUCGUCCGGGUUUCACACAGGUGUUGCAUGGCUGUCGUCAGCUCGUGUCGUGAGAUGUUGGGUUAAGUCCCGCAACGAGCGCAACCCUCAUCCUUAGUUACCAUCAGGUAAUGCUGGGGACUUUAAGGAAACUGCCAGUGAUAAACUGGAGGAAGGUGGGGAUGAUGUCAAGUCAUCAUGGCCCUUAUGGAGUGGGCUACACACGUGCUACAAUGGUGGCUACAAUGGGCUGCAAAGUCGCGAGGCUAAGCUAAUCCCUUAAAAGCCAUCUCAGUUCGGAUUGUACUCUGCAACUCGAGUGCAUGAAGUUGGAAUCGCUAGUAAUCGUGGAUCAGCACGCCACGGUGAAUACGUUCUCGGGUCUUGUACACACUGCCCGUCACGCCAUGGGAAUUGGU